GAUGAAUGCUGGCGGCAUGCCUAAUACAUGCAAGUCGAGCGGUAACAGGACUAGCUUGCUAGUUGCUGACGAGCGGCGGACGGCUGAGUAACGCAUGGGAACGCACCCCAAACUGAGGGAUAACUAGUCGAAAGAUUAGCUAAUACCGCAUGUGAUCUUCGGAUUAAAGCUUUCGGGCGGUUUGGGAGCGGCCUGUGUACGAUUAGAUAGUUGGUGAGGUAAUGGCUCACCAAGUCGACGAUCGUUAGAUGGUUUGAGAGGAUGAUCAUCCAGACUGGGACUGAGACACGGCCCAGACUCCUACGGGAGGCAGCAGUAGGGAAUCUUUCACAAUGGGCGAAAGCCUGAUGGAGCAAUGCCGCGUGCAGGACGAAGGCCUUCGGGGUUGUAAACUGCUUUANUAAGCGAGGAAUAUGACGGUAACUUAUGAAUAAGGAUCGGCUAACUACGUGCCAGCAGCCGCGGUCAUACGUAGGAUCCGAGCAUUAUCCGGAGUGACUGGGCGUAAAGAGUUGCGUAGGUGGCGUCUUAAGUAGAUAGUGAAAUCUGGUGGCUCAACCAUUCAGACUGUUAUCUAAACUGGGAUGCUCGAGAGCGUCAUGGGUAACUGGAAUUUCUAGUGUAGGAGUGAAAUCCGUAGAUAUUAGAAGGAACACCGAUAGCGUAGGCAGGUUACUGGGGCGUUUCUGACACUAAGGCACGAAAGCGUAGGGAGCAAACG
rnacentral:rRNA from 1 species